UUCCUAUGGUUCUGUUGAGGGCAUCACUAGGUGUUUCCUAUGGUUCUGUUGAGGUGUUUCCUAUGGUUCUGUUGAGGUGUUUCCUAUGGUUCUGUUGAGGUGUUUCCUAUGGUUCUGUUGAGGUGUUUCCUACGGUUCUGUUGAGGUGUUUCCUACGGUUCUGUUGAGGUGUUUCCUAUGGUUCUGUUGAGGUGUUUCCUACGGUUCUGUUGAGGUGUUUCCUACGGUUCUGUUGAGGUGUUUCCUACGGUUCUGUUGAGGUGUUUCCUAUGGUUCUGUUGAGGUGUUUCCUAUGGUUCUGUUGAGGUGUUUCCUACGGUUCUGUUGAGGUGUUUCCUAUGGUUCUGUUGAGGUGUUUCCUACGGUUCUGUUGAGGUGUUUCCUAUGGUUCUGUUGAGGUGUUUCCUACGGUUCUGUUGAGGUGUUUCCUACGGUUCUGUUGAGGUGUUUCCUACGGUUCUGUUGAGGUGUUUCCUACGGUUCUGUUGAGGUGUUUCCUACGGUUCUGUUGAGGUGUUUCCUACGGUUCUGUUGAAUCAGAGACAAAGUAGGCCCCUUCCUCGU